AAAAAAAAAGAGAGAGAGAGAAAAAAGUCGUGCGUUCUGCUGUGGGUAGCGGUUGAAAGUCCGACUGAAGGCGACUGCGCAAACGUCUUCAAGAAUUAUACUACUCACUAGGAUAAAGUUGGUUGGAAGCCCAACGGUUUCUGCAUGCAGAAAGGGACGGUGAUUUUAUUCCCGGUCUGCCUGCAGACACGAAAGAUGCACUUCUGAAAACAGACGCACAGACCCAGUCACAUAGCCGGCUAGAGUUUGCCAGUAUGCCUCCCAUAAGGACAUGUACGAAAAACUGAGACUGGUGGGGGGGAUCAGGGUGAAACGGACCGUUGGGGGCAUUUUUUCUCUUUCCUUCUCUUCUCUUAUAAAGGAAAGAGAGAAACGAUAAAAUAAUCCCCAUAAAACAUAUUAGGCCGAGGCCCGAAUUAGGCAACUUGUUUGUCUAAUUCCAUAAGUGGUGGAGUGAACUAGGCGGAACUAUAUCUAAAUCUUUUCUUUUCUCUAAAUUUUCCUUUCUUUUUUUCCUUUUCACUGACGGACGUAUUUCUUUGACGGACGCACUUCCUUAGCAGAGAAGCGGCUCACUGUAGCUUAUAGGUAAAACGUUUAGAGCACCGAGGGACCUCACGUAAGACGUCGAGGUCCAAUUUUAUACACUGUGUGAACAAAAGGUGUGAAAGAUGGAUGCAUGUGGACUAGAAAAUUGAAUCCAGAAAUACCUCGUUAGCACCAGAAGGAAGAAACAAAACUUUUGGAUCUGAUUAGACAAACCAAGUUCAAUUUUAGUAACUAUUUUUCUGACAAGGAUUCUGAACAGAAACAGGUGGAGCAAAACGGGGCUCAGGGAGGUGAGCAGGCACUCGACACUUCAGAGGGAUGGAUUAACCUACAAGGGGCACAGAGACUAACUUUGCUCCUAAACUUCAGAAGGAGGGAUGGUGUGCAGCUGCUGAGAUGCAGACAUUAAGGAAAUGACUGGAUGCCCACUGCUUUGGACGAGAAAAGAACACUGGCAGUGAUGGGUUGAUGGAAGGUCGUGGGAUCAUCGGACAAGACGGAUGAAAAAAAAAAAAAGUUAAGUGAACUGACACACCAGAUUUCUUAUUCACAAUGAAAAACUAUGCUAAAUUUUUCUUUAUAUCAUCAGGGGGUGGAGUAUUCUUACAUAGAGGAAUAAAAAAGAGGAUUUAGAGAUGUUUUACUAUGUGAUAAAUUAGACUGGGUUUUUUGAUAAAUAGUUUGGUCAGUUGUUAAUUAGCAUAAUAUUAUUAAAGGGACAACAAGUUGAAACUUUAACUUUUGGGAAUGGUACAGUUGCAUCAACAGAAUGCAAUUUAGGGGAAAUUAUAACAUUUUAGGAGCAAAUGUUUAAAGCAAAUGAUGGUUUCUUUUCAAAAUAAGCAAUAACGAUGAAGACUUAAUGAGUUAAUGAGCUUAUGGGGAUUCAAUAUCAGGCCCAGGGACUAAAACUUCACCAUUUAUUUUAUCUUUUUAUUUUAUUUUUAUUUGUUUUGAUAAAUUUUAAAUGUUUUUUGCUUGUUUUGUUUUUUUUUUUUUACUGCGAGCAGAGUUAUAAAUAGCAUUUGAGGGGCUAUAUACAAUUUGGGGGAUGGUUAACCAUACUUUUUAUGCAUGAAGCAAUAAGAACACCUGACUUUACUUCACUAGAGCUGCAAUUAAUACUUUAGAGGAGAUGCACACUUUAGUGUUUAGUUUAUUUGAGAUAACACAUAUAAGAAGAGAUUAUGUUUCCUGCACAUUUUUUGGAUCUGGUCAGGGGUCCAGAUAUGACAACUAUUUACUGGUUCUGGGGAUGUUGGAACAGAUUUUUUUUCGUUUGUUUUUAUUUUGUUCUUUGUUUUUGUUUUGUUUGUUUUUUCUCAUCGGAGCACUGCUUUUUGGAGAAUAUUUUAAAUGGACUAUAGCUGGACACUUUGCAUAGAGGGGGUGCAGUCGAAUUCAACACCUUCAGGAACUGUAUACUGCUGAGUUUUGGGAACGCAGCAGCAAGUCAGAGUACAAUCCUGUGCUCUGAGCAGAUGAACAAUUCAAUAUGACAUUUCCUCUUGAAGGGAGGAACACCUUUAACGCUCUGUUUCCUUCUACCUCUAUGUGAUACUGCUGAUGACACAGGUAAAGACUUAUCCUUCAGGGGGUGUGGGGACACAUGGCCCCAAGACUCUUAUGGUUCAAAGCUGCUGUGGUAACAGAGGGAAACCUGAUGGACUUGUCCGAACAUCGAACUUUUUGCAUGUUGGAGAGGGUCACUGCUCCAAGAAACACUUUUUCUUCCAAACCAGUAGCGGGAUGGCUCCUGACCAGUUUCCCACGUAUAGAUCCACUCACAUAGACACACACACAUACUGUCACAUAACAACACGCCCACACACGGUUAACGACUGGAAGAACACACAAGGGUCCACAUGGGAAUGAGGUUUUCUUUCAUGCACUAACAUUCACGGAUACAAGGUCUGGUGGGGGAGUUUUUAAUAGGGGGAAUCUGCGCCAAGCUGGGUUUUUUCCUUAGAGAUUAAAGAACUUCUAAUAAUUUUCUGGGGAGGGUGUAGCAGUAAACUAAAAUGCAGUUACAAGUUUAGACGAGACUAAAACUUAAUAUGCUAUGAUGUAGAAAUGGUUUUAAAAUUCAUUCAUUUAAUCCAUGAAUUGAGUGUUACAAUGUGUAAAAAAGGGUUAAAUGUUUUCUAAAUAUUUACAGGUUCCUUGAAUUAGAUUAUAUUAGUUGCAGUGAUUUUGGGCUUAUAUGA